rnacentral:ribozyme from 1 species
CCAGGAGGCCAUGCUCGGAGCCUUUAUCGAGCGCUUAGAUCGGGUAAAAACGCCCAAACAAAAAACACAAAAACAAACAGUAAAACAAAACCAAAAAAGACAAAAAUCGAAGGAACUACAUGAGAUCCCAUUAUUUUCCUUCUCGAAACCGUC